ensembl:miRNA
AUUAGGUUGGUGCAAAAGUAAUCACAGUUUUUGCCAUUACUUUUAAGGGAAAAAACCGUGAUUACUUUUGCACAAACAUAAU